rnacentral:sRNA from 1 species
ACAAAUGACUGACUUUUUAAAAAAAAUUACUUGGUGAAGUCAAAACAAUCGCUAAUAUUUGGAAACUAUUAGAAACUCUUUAGCCGAUUAAAUGUUGGAAAAGGUCAACAGGUGUUGUUUUUUUGCGUUUAUUUAUCUAUUUAUUAUGUUUUAUAGUUUCCAAUGUUCAUGACUUAGUAUUUUACUUAUGGGUAGCAUAGCAUUAGCAUGUUUCUUGUGUUGAGUCAGAAUUUUCAAUAUUAUUUGUUACAUACUACUUUAUAUUACAUUAGAAGUAUUAAUGACAUUCAAGUGCAAUUUUGUUACAUGCAAUAUUUUAUUUCAUUUUAAUAGUGUUGAUGAUUGGCCUAAUUUAUCGAAUUGAAUGGUUUUGAAUCAGGUUUAAAAAAAAUAUUUUACUACGCAUCUACCAUUAUGGGUCAUCUUACAUUUGUCAAUAGAAAUCUGUUGUUGAUUGGUGUGUAUGAAUUCAAUGUCAUGAAUUUGAAAUGCAGAGAACUAUAAAUUCUGUAAACAACUCACUUGUUAAAAUCAUAAACCAAAACAGACACAGGCAAAUGUAUUUAGUUUAAUAGUGGAUAAUUAACAAAUCUGUCUGACUGAGUGACUUGUACAUUGUGAUAUGGAUUGGAAGAAAAUUGCAGCAUUAUCAUAUCGUACCUACACUGUAGAUCUUCUGUCAUAUUCCCUUCAUGAAAGAAAUGGGUCCGGAAAUUGGAUGUAAAUGUUGUACCAAUUUUAUAUUCCUGUAUCGCUGUAUUCUCAGAAAUGAAAAGAUAUAUGAAUAAAAUUGAAAAGUUAUAUAUUCUCAU